rnacentral:misc_RNA from 1 species
GAUGAAGAACGCAGCGAAAUGCGAUACUUGGUGUGAAUUGCAGAAUCCCGUGAACCAUCGAGUCUUUGAACGCAAGUUGCGCCCGAAGCCACUAGGCCGAGGGCACGCCUGCCUGGGCGUCACACGUCGUUGCCCCCCCAUCUACUCCUUCGGGAUUGCGGGGGGGCGGAUGAUGGCCUCCCGUGCGCCUAGCCGCGCGGUUGGCAUAAAUACCAAGUCCUCGGCGACGCACGCCACGACAAUCGGUGGUUGCGAAACCUCGGUUGCCCGUCGUGUGCGUUCGUCGCGCAUCGAGGACUCGAAAAAAUGCUCGGCUCCGGCUGGGCUUUCAACGCGACCCCAGGUCAGGCGGGGUUACCCGCUGAAUUUAAGCAUAUCAAUAAGCGGAGGA